rnacentral:rRNA from 1 species
CAAGUUAACGAUCGCCCUUGUGCCAAGCAGCCGCGGUAAUUCCAGCUCCAAUAGCGUAUAUUAAAGUUGUUGUGGUUAAAAAGCUCGUAGUUGGAUCUCGGCGGACUGAGGGCGGUUUGCUUGCUAGUAUUACUGCCCUAUAGUCCGUAGUUUUGCCAGAGGUUUCGGGGUGCUCUUAAUCGAGUGUCCCGGGAUGCUGGCAGGUUUACUUUGAAAAAAUUAGAGUGCUCAAAGCAGGCUAUUACGCCUGAAUAUUCGUGCAUGGAAUAAUAGAAUAGGAAGUCGUUUCUAUUUUGUUGGUUUUCGGAAAUCGACUUAAUGAUUAAUAGGGACAGUCGGGGGCAUUUGUAUUCAAACGACAGAGGUGAAAUUCUUGGACCGUUUGAAGACAAACUACUGCGAAAGCAUUUGCCAAGAAUGUUUUCAUUAAUCAAGAACGAAAGUUAAAGGUUCGAAGGCGAUUAGAUACCGCCCUAGUUUUAACCAUAAACGAUGCCAGCUAGCGAUCUGCGGACGUUUUUUUUGUAGACUCCGCAGGAAGCUUCCGGGAAACCAAAGCAUUUGGGUUCCAGGGGAAGUAUGGUUGCAAAGCUGAAACUUAAAGGAAUUGACGGAAGGGCACCACCAGGAGUGGAGCCUGUGGCUUAAUUUGACUCAACACGGGAAAUCUCACCAGGCCCGGACACUGGAAGGAUUGACAGAUUGAUAGCUCUUUCUUGAUUCGGUGGGUGGUGGUGCAUGGCCGUUCUUAGUUGGUGGAGUGAUUUGUCUGGUUAAUUCCGAUAACGAACGAGACUCUGUCCUGCUAAAUAGUGUCUGCUUCUCUUUUGAGCAGACAAUUCUUCUUAGAGGGACUGGCGACUCUUAGUCGCACGAGAUUGAGCAAUAACAGGUCUGUGA